rnacentral:rRNA from 16 species
GGAUGCGAUCAUACCAGCACUAAAGCACCGGAUCCCAUCAGAACUCCGAAGUAAAGCAUGCUUGGGCGAGAGUACUACUAGGAUGGGUGACCUCCUGGGAAGUCCUCGUGUUGCAUUCC